UAAUACGGAGGGUGCAAGCGUUGUUCGGAAUUAUUGGGCGUAAAGAGCAUGUAGGCGGUCUGUUUAGUCUGGUGUGAAAGCCCUGGGCUCAACCCAGGAAGUGCAUUGGAUACUGGCAGACUUGAGUAUGGGAGAGGAAAGUGGAAUUCCGAGUGUAGGAGUGAAAUCCGUAGAUAUUCGGAGGAACACCAGUGGCGAAGGCGGCUUUCUGGACCAAUACUGACGCUGAGAUGCGAAAGCGUGGGGAGCAAACAGGAUUAGAUACCCUGGUAGUCCACGCCGUAAACGAUGGGUACUAGGUGUUGCGGGUAACCACUCCUGCAGUGCCGCAGCUAACGCAUUAAGUACCCCGCCUGGGGAGUACGGCCGCAAGGCUA
rnacentral:rRNA from 1 species